rnacentral:sRNA from 1 species
CUUCAUCAAUCUGUUGCGGACAAAUGAAAUGGAUAUGGGCGUCCAUACCCCCGGCAGUGAGUAUCUUGCCCUCCCCGGCAAUGACCUCGGUGCCCGGCCCGAUGAUAAUCGUCACACCAGGCUGGGUGUCCGGAUUGCCAGCUUUACCUAUGCUGGCAAUCCGCCCGUCUCGCAAGCCUAUAUCCGCCUUGAAUAUACCUGUCGCAUCGACAACGAGUGCGUUGGUGAUAACUGUAUCUACCGCACCAUCUGCACGCGUAAUCUGACUUUGGCCCAUGCCGUCACG